rnacentral:rRNA from 1 species
GAUGAACGCUGGCGGCGUGCCUAAUACAUGCAAGUCGAGCGAACAGACGAGGAGCUUUCUCCUCUGACGUUAGCGGCGCACGGGUGAGUAACACGUGGAUAACCUACCUAUGAGACUGGGAUAACUUCGGGAAACCGGAGCUAAUACCGGCUAAUAUCUUGAACCGCAUGGUUCAAUAGUGAAAGACGGCUUUGCUGUCACUUAUAGAUUGAUCCGCGGCGCAUUAGCUAGUUGGUAGGGUAACGGCUUACCAAGGCGACGAUGCGUAGCCGACCUGAGAGGGUGAUCGGCCACACUGGAACUGAGACACGGUCCAGACUCCUACGGGAGGCAGCAGUAGGGAAUAUUGGGCAAUGGGCGAAAGCCUGACGGAGCAACACCGCGUGAGUGAAGAAGGUCUUCGGGUCGUAAAGCUCUGUUAUUAGGGAAGAAAAAAUGUGUAAGAAACUCUGCGGGUGUUGACGGUACCUAAACAGAAAGCAACGGCUAACUUCGUG